AACCUUGCGCUGCCCGUCCGAUUGAUAUUAAAAGACGUUUGCCCGACCUGAUCGGGAUAUGGCGAUAAACGAAACGUGGAAUAAGCGUUGUGGACCAGGGGGCAGUACCCUGCAUCUCCACCAAUUUGACAGCCCCUCUUCCUGCAAAGGGAGAUCGCCUCGUUGUCGGAGGCUUGCCCGUCGGGCGGGGUUUCCAUGCUGCAUCACUUACCAACUCGGUGAGAGGCGGCAGGACAGUCUCGCUGGGGAUGAAAUAGGCUCGACACGCGUGGUAAAGACUUUUCCUUCGCUCGGCAUGGUACCACCGUUAUCGGGCUAAACUUAGAAGUGCCAACGACAACAGAGUUGCACUCGCUGCCGUCGCCUGACGGUAAGCGCGGUUUGGGGGAGCACCGGGCAACAGAAGCCCCCACC
rnacentral:tmRNA from 1 species